CUGAUAGCCCUGGAAAAUGAAGUCUCCUAUUUAUCCACAGAAUAGACACAUUCAGCAAUACAACAGAGCAAGCCUCUCAUGACUGCUCUAUCCAUGUGCCUGAUUCCUCCGUCUGGAAAGCCCAUUCCUUGAUGUGGGGAAGAACAGUUCAGAUUUAUGGGCUUGUCUAAACACUUUGUGGCG
ensembl:misc_RNA